UUUCUUUUUCUUAAAGAUCAUUGAUGACAAAGCCCACAAGGAGGAUCUCAUAGAAAAUUAAAAUGUACUUUGGGUUACAAACAUCUUUUUUUUUUUCCUAGAGAUGUUUUGAUAAGGAUUUAAAUAAAAUUUUCCAAUUUUUCUUUCUACUUUCCGGUUCCUAUGAAGUGAUUCAGUGUCCAUUACAGUAUUCAAUUUGUUGUGUGUGUAUGUGUGUGUUCAUGUAUGUGUAUAUGUAUAUGUGUGUAUGCAUAUUGUUUCCUUUAUUUGCUCAUUACUCCUACAGAGUUGUAUCAGCAAAGGACUGCCCUUGUAUUUCAACCUUUUGUAGUUAAAACAAAACAAAACAGUAUGACAAAGAAGAGGAAAAAUUCAAAAUUCUUUGUGUCUAGGGUGUGGCUCAUUUGGCAAUGUGCUUGUCUAGCAUGGACAAACUUAUGGGUUUCAUGAUGAAUUCUAAGAAAGCCAAGAGUGGUGAAACAUGGUUGUAAUCCUUGCACUUGGGAGACAAAAGCAAAAGCAUGAUAAGUUAAAGGACAGCCUCAGGCCCAUACCAAGUCCAGGCCAGUGGAGGACACCUGAGCCCCUGCCUCAAAUCAAUAAUAAUUUGUCUUCCACAUCUCACCAUCACCAUAUUUGUUACUCAAGUAUCUUAUCAUGGCAGACAGGGCUGGUCUCCCAAUGGGGAAAAAGCUGCAGUCUCCUUUAAGGGCUGGGUGUAGAUCCAGUCCAUGCCAUCCUUGCCUGAGCCAUCAUACAAGCCCUCAGGUUUUAUAGAGGUGCCAGAGGCAAGAGGUGUGAAGCGGGGAUGCUGUCAGUCAGCAGGGAAAUUUUCUGCCUCUGAAAAUGUCUCUGUGCUUCCUCUGUACAGCACCUCCAGCUGCCUCUGCACACCCGCCGUGUCAGGAUUAAAAUAGCUCAGGCUUGAUGACUUCACUAGUUCUCACAAACGGGCCAGUUGGCAGAAGGCAAGCACUGCCUGCUCCUGAGCGGAGGAUUUCUUUCUUUCUUUUUUUUUUUUAUUUGUUUCUUUCCUUAUUGCUCCCUAAUAGGAAUACUUGGUUUCAUUUUGACUCUGAAAGACAUUUCCUUUCUGAGGUUCAAUUCAGCGCAAACUUCGUGCAGAUCUUGCCAUAUGCCUUUAAAAGGCUCAAGCUAAAAAGAGGUCACUGGAAGCCAAAACUGAGCACCCAGACUGCAUUAUCAUUUCUGACGUAGAACAUCAAGGACAUUAAAACUACCAGGGAGUAUGAAACCGAUGACGAAUGUGGACACUGGAUGAGAACACAGGCAUCCGAGGACGAUGGCUUCUGGUGCUCAGUCCCUGCUGAGGAUAAGACUGGUGCUUUUCAUGUACUGUUUUCCCACCGAGGGCAGCUAAGGUGGUCCCUGGUGGCUGCAACUCAGAGAAGAGAAAUGUGUCUUCAGGAGGUGUGAGAAUGGAAGAGCAAGUCAUCAGAACAUGGCUCAAAGUCGAUGUAGGUCCUUCAUGCCACCUCAUGAGGAGCAGGCCUCAAAACCCAACCAUCCCUUCAAUAUCAUCAACACCAAUUCAAUGCCAGAAUUUUGGAGGAGACACAUGCAAGCAUGGACUAGAAGUAUUCCACAGUAUUUAUUUUCCUCACCUUUUAACUGUUCUGAUGUCAAGAGUGCAUCCCGUAUCUAAAUAAUGUUGCCCUCAACCACUUUUAUAGACCAUUAUCUACAUAUUUGAAAGGUAUGAAAAUGAACAUUAAAAUACCGUCAUUAAUGAUGUCAUAAUUGGUAAGCAGAGGCUGACAUGUGCUUAAAUUAAUUAAUCAUGAAUGUGAAGCACUAUACACAAAUAGAAGGAGCCCAAAAGCCGGAAGUUCUGAGUACCAGGUCUCCACCAUUUCGUUUGUGAGAUAACCAUGCCUGGGUAAGUUACUAAAAAUAGCUAUAAAAGGUAUACAUCACAAAUUUAUUAUGAAAAUAAAUCAAAGCCGGGUACAGUGGCACACGCCUGUAAUCCCAGCAUUUGGGAAGGCAGAGACAGGGGGAUCCCUGUGAGUUUGAGGCCCAGCCUAGUUUACAAAAUUAAGUCCAGGACAGCCAGGGCUACCCGGAGAAACCCUGUCUCAUAAAAACCAAAAAGAAAAAAGAAAAAAGUAAGUCAAAGUGAUGUGCGAGAAACCACAUAAAAAUUUUGUGCAAUGGCUUUAAAAAUAACAACAAAAAGAAUGAAUUGAAUGAAUUUCCAGAGAUUAAUUUCUCUAAGAAUCUCAAAAACUUGGUUAGUCACCCACUUUUGCUUAGAGCAUUAAACUGCUUAGCAUUUCCCAUCUGCAUUUUCUCUUUCACAAAGUGCCUAUUUGUCUUUUACUAAUCAUUAAACUCAGAAAUUAAGCCUGCUGGCCUCACCUCUUUCAACUGCCCUUUAGACUAAAGAAGAAACAAACUAUUUUGCAACCUUACAAUAAACACUGGGGGGUUGGGAGAAUUCCUGUCCCGUACAUGUGCCAUCAUGCCUAGCUCAGCAUCUAAUUUUGUUUGGUUGGCGUUGUUUUGGGCAGGGGUCUCUGCCACUCAUGGCAAAGGAGGGGAGAAAGAAUAGCCACAGGGAAGUCCAGGAGGUCUCAGAGCUUCUUAUGUGGACACACUGGAGUUGUGGGGGCUUUCUCUCAUUUUUAUUAGCAUAUCACUGUGCGAAGUUCUCACAUACACAUAUAACAUUUUUUUAUUAUAUUCACCCAUAGUCACCACGGGUGGGGCCCUUUCAUUUCUCCACCCAUUCCCUUUCCAUACCCCCUGAUGGUCUCCCUUUUACUUUCACAUCUUGCCCACUAAAUUCCACAUGAGAGAAACCUUGCAGCAUGUGUCUUUCUGAGACCGUUCUUUGCAGUUAAGAUGAUCUGAGUUGCAUUAAUUUUUCUGCAAUGACAAUUUCAUUCUUCUUUACAUGAAAGAGCAUUGUGUAUACAAGCCAUGUGUUUUGCAUUCAUUCAUCCUCUGACAUGUACCAAGGUUGAUCCCAUUUCCUGGCUCUUUUGAAUAAUGCUGCAAUAAACUCAGGUUUGGUGUUUCCCCUGUAAAAAUGUCCGCAUUGAUUCUUUGGUGUAAUACAUACAGUUGGUAUAUAGAUGAUCACAUGGCAAUUCAAAUCUUAUUUUUUUAUGAAUAUCCAUAUUAAUACUCAUGGUGGCUAUCCUAAUUUGCAUUUCUAUCAAAACUGUACACAUCCCUUUUCCUCACAUCCUUGUUACCCCUUGCAGUUUGUUGAGUUUUUUUGUUGUUGUUGUGGCUAUUUUGUUGGUUUUCUUCCUUCAUGGUAGCCAUUCUCACUGACAGGA